AGCAGCGUAGCUCAGUGGAAAGAGCACGGGCUUGGGAGUCAGAGGUCAUGGGUUCUAAUCCCAGCGCCGCCA
rnacentral:tRNA from 1 species